AUUGAACGCUGGCGGCGGGCCUAACACAUGCAAGUCGAACGAGUGGCGGACGGGUGAGUAAUGUCUGGGAAACUGCCUGAUGGAGGGGGAUAACUACUGGAAACGGUAGCUAAUACCGCAUACCAUCGGAUGUGCCCCGAUGGGAUUAGCUAGUAGGUGGGGUACAGGCUCACCUAGGCGACGAUCCCUAGCUGGUCUGAGAGGAUUACCAGCCACACUGGACCUGAGACACGGUCCAGACGCCUACGGUAGGCAGCAGUGGGGAAUAUGGCGCAAUGGGCGCAAGCCUGAUGCAGCCAUGCCGCGUGUAUGAAGAAGGCCUUCGGGUUGUAAAGUACUUUCAGCGGGGAGGCGUUACCCGCAGAAGAAGCACCGGCUAACUCCGUGCCAGCCGCCGCGGUAAUAC
rnacentral:rRNA from 1 species